CUGACCUCUGGUGAUCCACCCGCCUCAGCCUCCCAAAGUGCUGGGAUUACAGACAUCAGCCACUGCACCCAGUCCAGGGACUUUCUUAUAGAAGCCUCCCUGAUACCCUCAGUCCCCUGAGUCUUGAUCAGUUUCUCCAGUCUGUGUCUUAAAUGUAUUCUUUUCUUCAUGGCAUUACAAUUGUACAUUUACUUGCAUUAUUCUGUGAUAAAUAAUAAUGACCUUCCUACUAGACUAAACUCCACAAGGGUUUGGGCUGAAAUGUGUUUCCCCAAAUUCUUAUGUUGAAGUCCUAACCCCAGAUACCCCAGUUCCUCCCAGUACCUCAGAUCGUGACUGUCUUUGGAGACAAGGUUUUUAAAGAGGUGAUUAAGUUAAAGUGAGGUCAUGAGGGUGGGCCCUAAUCCAAUCUGACAUGAUAGGUGUCCUUAGAAGAAGAGGAGAUUGGGCCCCAGACACACAUGCACAGAAGAAAGACCACGUGAAGACAGAGGGGGAAGUCGGCGAUCUACAAACCAAGGAAACAUCCUCAGAAUGAAACCAACCUUGCCAACCCCUGAUCCUAGACCUCCGGCCUCCACAACGACGGUGAAGCUCCUGGUUCUCGAUCCUUUGCACUCGGACAGGGAGUUAUACCAUUGGCUCUUCUGGUUUUCAGGCCUUUGGACUCAGAUGGAAUUAUACCACAGGGUUUCCUGGAUCUCCAGCAUGCAGAUGGCAGAUUGUGGAACUUCUCAGCCUCCAAAAUCGAGUGAGCCAAUUCCCAUCAUAAAUCCCCUCUCCUGUGUCUAAAUAUGUCCUAUUGCUUCUCCUUCUCUGGAGAAUGCUGACUAAUACAGACAUAAUACAGCAGUCUUUGGGGUUGAUGUAUGAGUAUGUGGAGGAAGAACUAGACAUGAAGCAGAAUGUGCUUUCUUUAACAUAACUUCUUCAUUAAAAUAGUUCUAUGUGCUUAGUACAAAACUUGGAAAAUACAGAAAUGUAGUGAAAAAGGAAGAAGAAAAACUACCAUCCAUUAUUUUCUCUCCCUCCCUCCUCAAUCUCCAGGAGGAUUACAAUUAACUACAGUUUUCCCUUUAUUUUUCAGAGUUGGGAUUCUCCAGUAUGAAUAUUUUUGCUCUGAUUUUUAAAAUUAAUAUAGCUUACACUUUUCCCAAGACAUACUAAACUGCUCUCAAAUAUUUUAGUGGCUACAUCAUAUGUUAUUGAGUUAAUCUACUACAAUUUUGUUAAUCAUUUCCUUGUUGUUUGGAUGUUAAUUGUUAAUUUUUUCUUUUUUUUUUUUUAGUUUUAAUGCUGUGUGAUCAUCUUAGUGCACCACACAUUUUCUGCAUUUUGAUUUUUUUCUUUUGUGGUGACUCCCGAAGAUAGAAUUUCUGAGCUAAAGGAUAUUUUAUUUUACGUUCCUGCAUACUUUUGCCAAAUGGUUGCAUACAAAGGAUGAAGCCUUUACAUUCCCACUGGCAGAGAAUGAGUACCCACAAGUGCCCCAAGUCUAUGGUAACCUGUCCUGUGGAGGGAAAUCUGAAAGCUCUUAGUGAGACCAGUGGGCAGAUGCUAAGGCUGCCCCCAGACAGAGGGAGAAGUCGAACCACCAAGCAUUUGCUAGGCGGCGCAGCAUCUAUGUGGUCAGGGCCAAUGAUAUUCUUUUGCUCUUUCCAGCAUUGCCCAGUGAUCCUGGGGAUGCCGUUUGGAAGCUGCACACCUUUGACAUCUUUAGGGUUGAAGAGAUGAUGCUCCCCAUGGGGGCUGACCAGUGAUCCAUUAGUUUCUCGUGGAGUCUUCGGAGGUCUACGGGGCCUUCCUGGGGUUGCACCUCAUUUCCCCCACUCCUGACUUCGCAAUUUACUCCUUUGGAUUUUUCCAGAAACCGUCUUUGGCAGUUCUGAAACAAAGGCCACCUAGUGACCAAACACAAAACAAAAAACACUUGGAAAUCAUCAUUUCUCAAAAAGACUUUUGUUUUGAAAGAGACAAUACUGUCUGCCUGUCCUUGGAAAGCGUCCCUGAUUCAGGGUUUCCCCCUAAAUGGCCAGAAGCAAAACAGCUGGAGCCUGGAGCACAGGAUCAUUUUGACAGCAUUUGAGCACUACCUCUUGUAUCUGAUUUGUGGUAGGGAUCAGGCUGUUCUUAGAGCAGGAACAAAAUGUGCUUUGGGGAGAACCCAAGUGAAGAAAUACAGAAAAAAGCUGAAGCAGCAGCCAGGGUUACAAGUUUCUCCAUAUCCCCAGUGCCUGGCACAGGGCCUGGCUCUGAGUCGGAGCCCAGGCAGAGUGUGCCCAUCUGAUUCCCAGAUCACUGUGCCCUGGAAACCCUGAUGUUUACCUUCCUGGGGUAUUUGUAUGGAGCAGUCACCUUUUUCACAUGUUCCUGGAGUUCCCGCGUUAGUGCCUCUGGGUCAUGAGAGGAGUAGGCUGGAGUAAGGACUAUAAAUGCCUUUACCACCUGCAGGAAAACAAAAUACCCAGAAAAGAUCAGGCCUCGUAUAACAACUCUUUUCUCCUUAAGUGAGCCUUGAAUAAGUGCCUACAUUUACCUUUGCACCAUGAAAGUUCUACUAGUUUUUUUUGGGCACAGCCAGUGACACAAACAACAUCAAUUUUUCUUUUACUGGCCCUUCCAGGUGUGACUAUUAGGAGGAUUGACCUUUCUGGGAUGAUUUCAAACUCCUACCUCUUUCUCAAAUUACUCCCCAUACUUGGAAUGACACCAUUUGAAGCCAACAUCGCUUCUCUUAAGAAGGAAAUAUUUUGGAGAAAAGAGGUUCAUAAACUCCUAGGGCCAUUUUCUUCCAGAUUUUCCUAAUGAGAAAGGUAGGUAGGCAUGAGUUUGAACAGGUGGGAUUGAGGAAAAUGCAGGCACUUUCAAGGGGAACUAGGUCUUUGGGGGUCUGCAUGGAUGAACAUUUGCAAUCAGCAGACCCUGAACUGCACCACUUCUGUUCCAGACAUCCCAAGGGACAUUCUGCACCUUGGGUCUCUCUGCCCACAACUUUCCUGCAGGCUGUCUUAUGCCAGGCAGGAGGAAGUGUCCCAGACUCAAGCACAACAUACAUAGUUUCUGUUAGGAAUGGAAGGUCACUUGGAUGCUUAUUAAUUCCAGCAUUCCUAUCUGUUAACAGUAUUCUAUUAAAGGGGUUGCUCACUGUCCUUGCAUACUUCCCACAGGGAGGAAGGCCACUAUCAUUUCAUGUUCAGACAGAUAUGCUUUUAGAAAGAGCUUCCUCUUACUCUUACUACUGUAACUACGAAAUAUUUGUUGGACACUUUUUUUUUUUUUUUUUUUUUUUAAGGCAGAGUCUCACCCUGUCGCCCAGGCUGGAGCUCAGUGAGGUGAUCUUGGCUCACUGCAAGCUCUGCCUCCUGGGUUCACGCCAUUCUCCUGCCUCAGCAUCCCGAGUAGCUGGGAUUAUAGGCGCCCACCGCCACGCCCGGCUAAUUUUUAGUAUUUUUAGUAGAGAUGGGGUUUCACUGUGUUAGCCAGGAUGGCCUCGAUCUCCUGACCUCGUGAUCCACCCGCCUCGGCCUCCCAAAGUGCUGGGAUUACAGAUGUGAGCCACCGUGUCCGGCUCAUGUGUUGGGCACUUUCUACACACCAGACUCAGUUCUAAGCACUAUACAUGGAUUAAGUUUGAGCACACAGCCAUUUGUCACAGUCCCAGUUAACUCACGGCAUACAGAACUAGGCAUACGUUUGAGGUAUGAUUUCUUCAGCACAUCAAUGGGACUCCACACCUCCCUUAUUAUACAUUAAUGGCUUUGGAUUUUAGAGGGGAAUCACUUGGCCAAGAAUGGCUGGCUAAAAUGCAGAUUCUCUGGGCUGCAUUCCCAGUCAUCAUGAUUUGGUAAGUGUGACUUUAGGUCUACAAAUCUAUAUUUUAAACAAGAAUCUCAGAUGAUACAGUUGCAAGCAGUCCAAGAACCAGACUUUGAGAAUCUCUCCUGUGGUCCUGAUGCUUCUGAGAAUGCAGGCUGAUGUUGCACUAACUUUCAAAAGGUAACUGUUGUGCUUUAGGAUUAUGUUAGAUGUAAGCCAGUGAAAAGUACCUAAGUCUGCCUGGAAGCUGAUCUUUCCCAUAAUAUGCAUUCUUCUGUGACCCACAGAAAGACUUCUCCUGGCCGGGCACGGUGACUCACACCUGUAAUCCCAGCACUUUGGGAGGCCGGGGUGGGUGGAUCACCUGAGGUCAGGAAUUUAAGACCUCCAGCCUGGCCAACAAGGCAAAAUCCUGUCUCUACUAAAAAAAAAAAAAAUUAGCCAGGUGUGGUGACAGGUGCCUGUAAUCCCAGCUACUGGAGGGGGGCUGGGGCAGGAAGAUCACUUGAACCUGGCAGGCGGAGGUUGCAGUGAGCCAAGAUCAUGCCACUGCACUUCAGCCUGGACAACAGAGCAAGACUCCAUCUCAAAAAAAAAAAAAGGAUUUCUCCUAUGAAAGCCCAGUUUAUUAAAUUUGGCCCAUCUUUCUGGUAUAUCUAGGUCAUUUUGGAUACAUGUUCUAUCCCUCUUAGGUUACAGCCAUCAGCAACUAUUACUGGUGUGCUUGCUAUGUCCUCAUCUGCAAAUAGAAAAGACUUUUUAUUAGACAGGAUGGAUAACAGAGCCUGCACCUCCCCCUAAGAACUCCUGCCCCAUAGCCAGCCUCUUUGGGAUGCAAUUGUGUCUAUUUAAAAGCAAAGUGUUGGUGUUUUCCCAUUAUGUCCCUUUAGAGAGUAAUUGUAUCUCUAAAGACAUGAAGGCAACGUGUGUCUGAUGGUGGCAUUUCAACUUUGUGGCACAUGGAUGGAGGUGAAAUACAGGACAAUCUGAGCCUUCCUGCUUGUUCUGCUGGGUGCUAAUAGGUACAGAAGCAGGAGGCCAUGUUCUUGGGUGCACUGGUUACCUCUCCCCUGAUGGGGUCUGGGCUGCUGACCACAGCCGACUCCAGGACAGCCGGAUGCUCUGCCAGGGCACUUUCCACUUCAACAGGCCCGAUCCGGUAGCUGGAAGGGAAAAACAAACUCUUCCAAGUGGGCUUCCCUCAACCCCCAUGAAAUUUCAAAGGGAGGAGGAAAGUGCAGACAGCUUGACCUUGAAGAAUUGAUCACAUCGUCGUUUCUUCCCAUGAACCAAAAGUAGCCAUCCUUGUCCAUGCGAGCUCGGUCCCCUGUGAUGUAAAAGUCCCCUUGUUCUGACGCAGCUGUCUUCUCAGGAUUGUCCUGAAAGACAAAUACAACCCGUGAAGGACCCUCUGGGAACAACUGCUAAGGCCAGUUACUGCCCCAGUAGCCCCCUGUAGGAAGCUGGAGACCACUCAACAGAAAGUUCAGCAGUUCCUAAAGUCCCGGCUGCCCAGAGUUCCCCAAUGGACAGGGAGUUAUGGCCCUGUUUAGUUGUGGGAUUUCCCUCUUUCGAUUGGAAUCAAGCUGCCAGCAAAUGGUUAAGGGCAGUCACCCACCACCAUCCUUAGAAGGGGGUCUAGAAAGCAUAGUUGAAAGCAGGAGGGUGGGCACAGGGCCACUGGCUGUGUUUUUUAGGACAAGAGAACACACGAAUACUCUUUGUGCUCAGGAAUCACUGAGGGUAGAAAGUGAAGGGCUAGGCCGGGUGUAAUCCCAGCACUGUGGGAGGCUGAGGUGGGUGGAUCACUUGAGGUCUGUAAUUCGAGACCAGCUGGCCAACAUAGUGUAAACCUGUCUCUACUAAAGAUAAAAAAAUUAGCUGGGUGUGGUGGUGCAUGCCUGUAAUCCCAGCUACUCGGGAGGCUGAGGCAGGCGAAUUGCUUAAACCUGGGAGGCAGAGGUUGCAGUGAGCUGAGAUUGUGCCACUGCAUUCCAGCCUGGGCUAUAGGGCGAGGCUGUGAGAUUGUACCACUGCACUCAAGCCUGGGCUACUGUAGGAUUGCAGGAGAUUGCAGGAUUGUUCCACUGCACUCCAGCCUGGGCUAUAGGGCAAGACUUCAAGUAGGAAACAAAGGAAAGGAAGGGGAGGGGAGGGGACGGGAGGGGAGGGGAGAGGAGAGUGGGGAGGGAAUGGAAGGGAAGAGAAGGGAAGAGAAGGAAGAAAAGAAAGAGAGAAGAAAAGGGAGGGAGGAAAGGAGGAAGGGAGGGAGGGAGGGAAGAAGGAAAAGAAAGGAAGGAAGGAAAGAAAGAGAGAAAGAAAAAGAAAAAAGGAAGGAAGGAAGGAAGAAAAGAAGAAAUGAAGGAAAAGAAAGAAAGAAAAAGAAAGAAAGAAUGAAGAGAAAAGAAAGAGAUAGAAAAGAAAGAAAGAAAAAAGGAAGGAAGAAAGAAGGAAAGAAGCAAGGAAGGAAGGAAGGAAAGAAAAGAAAGAAAGAAAGAAAGGGAGGGAGGGAGAAGGGCUCACCAAAAAGCUCAUUGGUGUGGGGCAAGAGUAGAGGAAAGAGAAAAACAAUCAAACUCUGAUUCUCAAAGUUUCAAAGAAAAAGCUACUACUCAGCAAUAAAAAUACAUGAAACCACACAGAUGACUUGCAGAAACAUCAUACUGAGUAAAAGAACCCAGACAGAUAAACUGGAAUAGUUUGUGAUUCCAUUUACAUGAAGUUCUUUUUUAAAAAUGCAAAAUUAUUAUAUACUGACGACAAACAAUGUAUCAAUUGCUGGGUCUGGAGUGGAGAGGAUUGCCUGUCAAGGGAGUGAAAAAUGUUCCCUAUUCGACUGUGGUGGCAGUUACACAGGGGCGCACAUGUGUUAAAAGUCAUCGACUUACACACUUAACAUGGGUGAAUUUUACUGUAGGUAAAUUAUAUCUCAAUUCAACAAGGACCUUCUGAGAAAAAAGAAAAAAUAUAAGCUACCCUAAAAAUACAUCUAACACAAAAUCUCUGAGACGUGUAUGGAGAAAACUUAAAACUCUACACAACAUUAAAGAAGAUAUAAAUAAAGUGAAAGAAAGACUUAAUCGGCCUGGUGCAGUGGCUCAUGCCUGUAAUCCCAGCACUUCGGGAGGCCAAGGCAGGUGGAUCACCUGAGGUCAGAAGUUCAAGACCAGCCUGGCCAACAUAGAGAAACCCCAUCUCUACUAAAAAUACAAAAACUAGCCAGGUGUGGCGGCAGGCGCCUGUAAUCCCAGCUACUUCGGAGGCUGAGGCAGGAGAAUCACUUGAACCCGAGAGGCGGAGGCUGCAGUGAGCCAAGAUCACACCACUGCACUCCAGCCUGGGUGACAGAGCAAGACUCUGCCUCAAAACAAAACAAAACAAAAAAGACUUAAUUAAUAGAGAUGUCAAUUAUCCCUAAGUUGUUUUAUAGGCAAUACAAUUCUAAUCAAAAUGCUAGCAAACAUUUUCCAAGGAACUUGACAAGUUGAUUCUAAAAUACAAAUGAAUGAGCAAAGGGCUAAGAAUAGGUAAAACACUUCUAAAUAAGUUGAAUAACAAGGUUAGAGUUGUUCUCCCACAUGUGAAGACUUAUGGUAAUGCUUUUGUGGAUAAGACUUCAUGGUAUCAGUACAGAGACAGAGUAAGUGAUCAAGGAAAUACAAGAAAGUGCCAAAGCCUAUGUAUGACUAUAUCAAACUUUUAAAAAAUGAUAUAUUUAUUUGAGAUGGAGA
rnacentral:lncRNA from 1 species